rnacentral:misc_RNA from 1 species
AAAAAUCUUAAUUCUUAUGUCUGGAGAUGAAAAAAAAAAAUGAAUAUCUACAUUUUAUGUGUAGACCAAUAAAAGAAGAUGAAAAUAAAUGAAAUGCAGGUUCUAGGGUAAAUUUCAGCAAUUGCCCCAUAACUACGAAUGUUGUAACAAUAAUAUUCCUAAAAAUCAAUUUGCAUGACAGCUCCUUAGAUUUUGAUUAUCACUAAAGCCCUUGUUAAAAUCUGAUUGAUUUUCUGGUGAGAUGCUGAUAUGGAACAUCAUAUUUUACACACACACACACACACA